rnacentral:rRNA from 1 species
AGAUUGAACGCUGGCGGAAUGCUUUACACAUGCAAGUCGAACGGCAGCACGGGGGGCAACCCUGGUGGCGAGUGGCGAACGGGUGAGUAAUACAUCGGAACGUGCCCAGUCGUGGGGGAUAACUUACGCGGAAAGCGUAGCUAAUACCGCAUACGAUCUACGGAUGAAAGCGGGGGAUCGCAAGACCUCGCGCGAUUGGAGCGGCCGAUGGCAGAUUAGGUAGUUGGGUAGGGGUAAAGGCUACACCAAGCCGUCGAAUCUGUAGCUGGUCUGAGAGGACGACCGAGCCCACGACGUAGGGACUGGAGAACCGACCGG